UCGCGAAAACUUUGCAAUAAGCGAAAGCUUGACAGGGCUAUCCCGAGUGCCAUCCGCUGAGGAAGGCUUUUACCCAGUCUAGAACGCUGGGGGAAUAAGGAGAGGGCAAGUCUGGUGUCAGCCGCCGCGGUAAUACCAGCUCUCCGAGUGGUGUGGAUGUUUAUUGGGCCUAAAGCAUCCGUAGCUGGCUAAGUUAGUCCCUUGUUAAAUCCACCGAAUUAAUCGUUGGAUUGCGGGGGAUACUGCUUGGCUAGGGGACGAGAGAGGCAGACGGUAUUUCCGGGGUAGGGGUGAAAUCCUAUAAUCCCGGGAAGACCACCAGUGGCGAAGGCUGUCUGCUAGAACGCGCCCGACGGUGAGGGAUGAAAGCUGGGGGAGCGAACCGGAUUAGAUACCCGGGUAGUCCCAGCUGUAAACGAUGCAGGCUAGGUGUUUGGACGGCCACGUGCCGUUCUAGUGCCGCAGGGAA
rnacentral:rRNA from 1 species